rnacentral:rRNA from 1 species
CAGUAGCCGCGGUAAUACGUAGGGUGCGAGCGUUAAUUGGAAUUACUGGGCGUAAAGCGUGCGCAGGCGGUUAUAUAAGACAGAUGUGAAAUCCCCGGGCUCAACCUGGGACCUGCAUUUGUGACUGUAUAGCUAGAGUACGGUAGAGGGGGAUGGAAUUCCGCGUGUAGCAGUGAAAUGCGUAGAUAUGCGGAGGAACACCGAUGGCGAAGGCAAUCCCCUGGACCUGUACUGACGCUCAUGCACGAAAGCGUGGGGAGCAAACAGGAUUAGAUACCCCCGUAGUCCCUGUCUCUUAUAC